rnacentral:rRNA from 1 species
UAGUUCGAUCAUGGCUCAGGAUGAACGCUGGCGGCAUGCCUAAUACAUGCAAGUCGAACGGAGUGAAGCCUUCGGGUUUCAUUCAGUGGCGAACGGGUGAGUAAUACGCAGGGAACCUGGCCAUGGCAGGGGGAUACACUCUGGAAACGGAGCAUAAGACCCCAUAGGCAGUAAGGCGGCAUCGCCUUACUGUUAAAGAAAGCUGAAAGGCUUUGGCGAUGGAUGGACCUGCGGUGCAUUAGCUUGUUGGUGAGGCAACGGCUUACCAAGGCGAUGAUGCAUAGCCGGCCUGAGAGGGCGGACGGCCACACUGGGACUGAGACACGGCCCAGACUCCUGCGGGAGGCAGCAGUAGGGAAUUUUCGUCAAUGGGCGCAAGCCUGAACGAGCAAUGCCGCGUGAGUGAGGAAGGUCUUCGGACUGUAAAGCUCUGUUGCCGGGGAAAAAGGGGAAAUGCAGGAAAUGGCAUUUCAUGGAUGGUACCCGGCCAGAAAGCCACGGCUAACUACGUGCCAGCAGCCGCGGUAAUACGUAGGUGGCGAGCGUUAUCCGGAAUGAUUGGGCGUAAAGGGUGCGCAGGCGGUCUGUUAAGUCUGAAGGCAAAGGGAUGAGCUCAACUCAUUUAUGAUUCAGAAACUGGCAGACUUGAGGACAGGAGAGGGCGGUGGAACUCCAUGUGUAGCGGUAAAAUGCGCAGAGAUAUGGAAGAACACCAGUGGCGAAGGCGGCCGCCUGGCCUGUGACUGACGCUGAGGCACGAAAGCGUGGGGAGCAAAUAGGAUUAGAUACCCUAGUAGUCCACGCCGUAAACGAUGAGGAGCAGGUGUUGGGAGUGAAAUCUCAGUGCCGAAGCCAACGCAGUGACUCCUCCGCCUGGGGAGUAUGUACGCAAGUGUGAAACUCAAAGGAAUUGACGGGGGCCCGCACAAGCGGUGGAGUAUGUGGUUUAAUUCGAAGCAACGCGAAGAACCUUACCAGGUUUUGACAUCGGAUGCGAAGGUGCAGAGAUGCGCUGGAGGUUAACAUCCAGACAGGUGGUGCAUGGUUGUCGUCAGCUCGUGUCGUGAGAUGUUCAGUUAAGUCUGGCAACGAGCGCAACCCCCGUGGUAUGUUACUAACGCUUAGGGCGAGGACUCAUAUCAGACUGCCGGUGACAAACCGGAGGAAGGCGGGGAUGACGUCAAAUCAUCAUGCCCCUUAUGACCUGGGCUACACACGUACUACAAUGGCGUCUACAGAGGGAAGCGACCCUGAGAAGGGAAGCGAAACCGGAAAAGGGCGUCCCAGUUCGGAUUGAAGUCUGCAACCCGACUUCAUGAAGAUGGAAUCGCUAGUAAUCGCGGAUCAGCAUGCCGCGGUGAAUACGUUCCCGGGCCUUGUACACACCGCCCGUCAAACCAUGGAAGCCGGCAACGCCCGAAGCCGGUGGCAUAACCUUUUAGGAGUGAGCCGUCGAAGGCGGGGCCGAUGACUGGGGUUAAGUCGUAACAAGGUACCC